rnacentral:rRNA from 1 species
UGAGUAAUAUAUCGGAACGUGCCCAGUCGUGGGGGAUAACGCAGCGAAAGCUGUGCUAAUACCGCAUAUGAUCUCUGGAUGAAAGCGGGGGACUCGCAAGGGCCUCGCGCGAUUGGAGCGGCCGAUAUCAGAUUAGCUAGUUGGUGGGGUAAAAGCCCACCAAGGCGACGAUCUGUAGCUGGUCUGAGAGGACGACCAGCCACACUGGAACUGAGACACGGCCCAGACUCCUACGGGAGGCAGCAGUGGGGAAUCUUCCGCAAUG